GACCCCAGGUCAGGCGGGACCACCCGCUGAGUUUAAGCAUAUCAA
rnacentral:rRNA from 1 species